CAAGUAAAUUGCUUUCUGUAUAAGCGUUCUCUUUUUUUUUUUUGAAGUUUGCCCCAGUGUGAAAGUCUCUCUCAGAAGAUUGGUAACUAAUGGGUAAUACACAACAUUCCAAGAUAGAUUCUGGUAUCUUGAGCCAACAUAUCAGGAGAAUGGUACAGAAAAACUGAACAUUACCAGCCCCUCUACCUUAGCUAACUGCAAAAUGAACAACUUCCAAGGACUUGCUGCUACUCUCCCACAAAAUGAAAAGUCUAUGUAUCAAGAUGUAGAAUAGUACAGCUAAGCACAAGGCUCCUCCCCAGUCAAAGAGGAGCAGAGAGUGAAGAUCACUAUCAGUAAAAGCGCUGGCCUAGAGUUCCAUCACUAAACUGAUAUGUAACCCAA
rnacentral:lncRNA from 10 species